CCUGGGCAAACUCAGGGCUCACUUGCUUCAGGCAGCCAUGCUCUUCACCUCAUGGAAAUAUCCUCUUUUUUCUGAACAGCUGUACUGAGUCAGGGUUCAGCUCUGGCUUGGCACAUUGCUUGGAUAUUGACCCCGACUUCAUCUGCUUGACUGUGUUGGGGUUGUUUAUGCUGUACUUGUUCUGCGUGCUAUUGACUCUCUAUUUGUCACCCGCUGGGAAAAAUAAUGGCAUCCCAGUGCCUCAGGGCAGAGCCAGGAGGAGAAAGAAACGUGGGACAUCUAAAGAGUUUCUCUCUUGUUACCCAGGCUGGAGUACAGUGGUGCGAUCUCGGCUCAUCGCAACCUCUGCCUCCUGGGUUCAAGCAAUUCUCCUGCCUCAGCCUCCCGAGUAGCUUGGAUUACAGGUCUCCCUGCCUAAAAGCACUACCAUUUUGGAAGAAGGAAGACAUUUUAACUUCAAGUGAAGUUGGUGUUUUGAUGAAUACAUCUUACAGGACGUUUUAAUUACUGAGCUAGAUUAUUCGUGGCACUACGAAUGACUUAAAGAAUGGUUAAGAACAUUCUGGGACCUUCCCUCACCUAGUAUUUCCUUCAAAAGGCAAGAGAAAAAUAAGUCUCCAGAUUGGUUAUAAGGGAUCUGUGAGGGGAACGAAUGAAAAUUUUCCCCCCUGCAUGCUAUGGAGUUCAGCUUAUUUGUUCUACCUAAUGAUUAUCCUUCUUCUAUGUGGUCUUUAUCAUAGAGCUUAGCAAUGUACUGUUUACCUUCUGUCUGCCUUACUAGACAGAGAGCUCAAAAAGACAGGGGCUCUUGCAGACAGGUAUGGAAAAAACGAAAAGAAGAUGGGGCAACAUUUUUAUUAAUCCUGUUAAUCCAAGACCAACUAUAGUACUUGACAUGAAGUGACCAUUUAGUGUUUGUUGAAUUACCUCCCUCCCAUCAUCUUGAUGAAAGAAUUACUUGAAUGCCAAAAGUACUUUGAGUAUGAGAAAUUCAGUAUUUCAUGAUACAAAGGAGGCAGAAUGCUUAAGUGUAUAAAGAGAUAUUGUGUUCCCAGGUUUAGAUCCAUUUACCAUCACUCCAUUCAAUGGGAAAACACUUUACUUCUGAACUGUAUCACAGGGUUGGUUUUAUUCUUCCCUUUUUAUUCAAGCUCUCAGCCACCUAAUCUCUCUCCCCUGUUGCAACAGGGCAUGAACGUAGCUUUCAUGAAGCCCAGUGUUUGGAUUAAAUUCUAAAAAUAAUCCCCUUCUCUCCACAUCUUACACUGCUGUGAUUCUUUUUUAAAAGCAGAGUCUGAAUCCUUAUUGUUUAAAAGUCAACAUUUCCUGUAUUAUUGCGGCAAAUGCAAAAAAUCUGACAAUGUUGUGAACGACUGUGGAGAGGGCUUGUUUCCGUAUAAAAACUAUAGCAUUACUGUCACUGUGAUCCAGAGAUGAGAAGUUAUGAAACAUUUUGACUCAAAUAGAUGCCACAUGAAUUUAAAAAUUUUCAUGUGGAUAAUAAUUUUUCAAACAAAAUGUCACCAUGAUUUAAUCCCUCCUAGAAAGACAGGAGUGUAUCUUCAAACAAACUGCCUAAGCUGUUUGUUCACAGUUUGCUUUUUGAUUCAGUAGGAUGGAUUAUGAGGGGUAACAACCAGAGCUGUGACAGCUCUGGCUAAAUCCCACAUGGCGUUCAAUCCUUCUCUCUUUUAGAAAUCUCUCCAAGUUUGGAAUUCUACGAAAGGCUUAAUGGUAGUCACUGGAGGAGUGCCUUGGCUUGUGAAGUCUCUUUCCGUUAUGGACUAGCAGUGAUGUCAUUCUGAAGCACUAAGAAAUGAUUCUUCUGAGUUACGCUUCUCCUAGAUGGAAUCUUGCUGUCACCUAGGCUGGAGUGCAGUGGUACGAUCUCAGCUCACUGCAACCUCUGCUUCCCAGGUUCAAGCGAUUCUCCCUGCCUAAGCUGCCUGAGGAGCUGGGAUUACAGGCACUCGCCAUCAAGCCCAGGUUUGUGCAAAGCUUAUUCUGAUUCUUGAAAUAUGUAAAAGACCCUUGAAGCAUAAUUCUAUGCUAUUCCCCACAUUGAGAGAGUGAGAUGGAGCUCAGUUGGAUGUCACCACCCCCUGUUUGGGACAAAGAUCACACUCUGCCUUGAAACCCAGUAAUCAAAAAGAUCCUGGACAUGCGGCCAUUCUUUUCCUACACCAUUUAAGUCCAAUGGCAAGCUGGAGCCUAAAAGUGGCUGUGCCCAAGCUUUCAGUGUUUUUUCUCCUGGGAGAAACUUUGGAAUGAGCACAUCCUCUCAUGACUGAAGCUGUUAUUUAUUAAAGCAGCGGCGCAUUGAUAGAUUUAGCAGCAGUGGACCGAAGUUGAGCUCUGUUGCAGGAUACUGAAGACCUUGUCAGAUGUGGGCAGCCAGUAGACAGCUGUAAGGCAACCCUUGAACUGAGAGCUCUGCCAUGAUAGAAAAGCCAAGCUCCACCACCAGCAGCCAAGCUCCAGACUCCACGCAAGACCUGAAGACUUGGCAACUGAGCUGACUUCCAACUGACUCCAAGAGGAGAUCUGGACUUGGAAUAGUGUGCAUUUGGUCUUGUGUGCACAAUUUCCAGUCAUAUGUAAAUGUUAUGUGUCAAAACAGCUCUCUAUUAAGUGCAAAUAGUAAUGAUACAUCCAAAAGCUAUUUUUAUUUCUUUUUGUUCAUUUAAAAUAUGCUCUUGAAAUUUAAGAAAAAUACAGAUCCUAGGAGAUAUUAGAAUACCUUCUGAGUGUGAGUACCUUCUGAGUGUGAGAAGCCUUGGCUAGAUGUAUUAAUAAGAGCUCAGAUAGAAACCUGUGUGGUGCUGUAGAAGAGGCAAUGGAACAAGGGGACCACAGAGCACUGCAUAAUUUUGCUGUGGAGGUGCUGGAGCACCUCACUUUGCGUCAAUAUUCUCACCUGUAAAAUGGUGAUAAUAAGGUUGUCCCUGCCUGCUUUGUAAAAUAGCUGCAACAAUCAAAGUAUAAGAAGGGAGUAACGAUACUUUCCGGAGAGCGGUACAGACAGUGUUGCUUUUAACAUCAAAAAUAAGGCACUUUGGACCCCAAAGUAAAGCAUAGUAAAAAUAUAUGUAAGCUACUUUUUAAUCUUUAAAAAAUUGUCUAAGUGAAAGAAUACCACUUUUCUAAUUGUAUUUCAGUUAUAUAAAAUACCAAAAAUAGGUAAAUCCCUAGAGGCAGAAAGCAGCUUGGUGGUUGCUAGAAGUUGGGGAAGGCAGGGAGAAGAGUGCUUGCUUAUGUGUACAAGGUUUUCUUUUGGUGUGAUGAAAAUCUUUUGUAGCUAAAUAAACGUAGUGGUUGCUCAACAUUGUGAGGGCACUAAAUGCCGCUGAAUUGUUCACUUUAGAAUGAUUAAUUUAUAUUAUGUAAAUAAACAUUCAAAAGACUUGUGUGUAUAUAUGUACAUAUGACUUGAUGGGGGGAAGGGGUGGUCCCAGGAGUGUUUGUACGGAUGAUUUUAUAAGUGUAAUCUCGGACUCACAGACUCCUUUAUAAAAAUGUGUUUGUGAAGUUUACUUUGAGUUGCUGUUAGUGUUUGAUUAUCUCCAUGAAACUAAGCCCAGCAGAAUCUGUCCACACCAGGCCAUUGGGUAGUGUCCAAGGAUUACAUGUGCUGUGAAAUCCACAGAUGCUUAGACAAAUGCCCUUUGGCUUCUUGGGUUCUCUGACCCUACUAAACAGUUGCUGUGAGAGUUAAGACAUGAGAUUUGAGGGAGGAAAGCACAGCUUUAUUGGUCCUCAUCAGUUCGGUCUUAACAAUUUGCCAUUGCUAGAAAUCAGACUUUUGCUUGAAAUGGUUUCAGAUGCUGACAUUUUUUCCCCAAGUUGGCAAAUCUUGCCUUUUGUGUCUUUAAAUUUCCUCAGUGGGCCUCUUCUCUGACCUUCAAAGCAAAUUG